rnacentral:rRNA from 1 species
UUAAGCAUAUCAAUAAGCGGAGGAAAAGAAACCAACAGGGAUUGCCCUAGUAACGGCGAGUGAAGCGGCAAAAGCUCAAAUUUGAAAUCUGGCUUCGGCCCGAGUUGUAAUUUGUAGAGGAUGUUUCGGGCACCGCCCCGGCGUAAGUCCCUUGGAACAGGGCGUCAUAGAGGGUGAGAAUCCCGUCUGGCGUCGUGGUAGGGCCCAUGUGAAACUCCUUCGACGAGUCGAGUUGUUUGGGAAUGCAGCUCAAAAUGGGUGGUAAAUUUCAUCUAAAGCUAAAUACUGGCCAGAGACCGAUAGCGCACAAGUAGAGUGAUCGAAAGAUGAAAAGCACUUUGAAAAGAGAGUUAAACAGUAUGUGAAAUUGUUGAAAGGGAAGCGCUUACAACCAGACUUGAGCCCGUCGGUUCCCCCUCGCUUCUGCGUGGGCUACUCCGGCGGGUCCAGGCCAACAUCGGUUCGGGUGGCUGGUCAAAGGCCCCGGGAAUGUACCUCACCUUCGGGUUAGGCUUAUAGCCCGGGGUGUCAUGCGGCCUACCUGGACCGAGGAACGCGCUUCGGCUCGGAUGUUGGCGUAAUGGUUGUCAGCGACCCGUCUUGAAACACGGNCCAAGGAGUCGAAGAGCUAUGCGAGUGUUUGGGUGUCAAACCCGUACGCGUAAUGAAAGUGAACGGNNNNNNNNNNNNNNNNNNNNNNNNNNNNNNNNNNNNNNNNNNNNNNNNNGAUGGAUUUGAGUAAGAGCAUAACUCUCCGGACCCGAAAGAUGGUGAACUAUGCCUGAAUAGGGUGAAGCCAGAGGAAACUCUGGUGGAGGCUCGCAGCGGUUCUGACGUGCAAAUCGAUCGUCAAAUUUGGGUAUAGGGGCGAAAGACUAAUCGAACCAUCUGGUAGCUGGUUCCUGCCGAAGUUUCCCUCAGGAUAGCAGUAACGUUUUCAGUUUUAUGAGGUAAAGCGAAUGAUUAGAGGCCUUGGGGUUGAAACAACCUUAACCUAUUCUCAAACUUUAAAUAUGUAAGAAGUCCUUGUUACUUAGUUGAACGUGGACAUUUGAAUGUAUCGUUACUAGUGGGCCAUUUUUGGUAAGCAGAACUGGUGAUGCGGGAUGAACCGAACGUGAGGUUAAGGUGCCGGACUGCACGCUCAUCAGACACCACAAAAGGUGUCAAUGCAUCUAGACAGCCGGACGGUGGCCAUGGAAGUCGGAAUCCGCUUAGGAGUGUGUAACAACUCACCGGCCGAAUGCAUUGGCCCUGAAAAUGGAUGGCGCUUAAGCGUGCGACCUAUACCUCGCCGUCAGGGUUGACAUGAUGCCCUGACGAGUAGGCAGGCGUGGAGGUUUGUGACGAAGCCUUGGGGGUGACCCCGGGUCGAACAACCUCUAG